rnacentral:lncRNA from 1 species
UUGAAAGCUGAGAAAGGGAGUUUAUAUUCGGUGUGAUUCUCGUCUUAUUUUUUUACUACGGACAAUAUAAUAUAAUAAGAGAAAUCACUAAUUAGUUUUGAAAUUGAACAUUUCACGAAUUCGAAAACCAAGCCUUUUACAUUUGAUAACGAAGGGUACUGUAGAAAAUAUCUUUUAUUCAAUUGACGAAAACCAAAUCUGGAUCACAAUUUGAUUACGAUUUGGCCAGAAGCUUUCUAAAUAAGGUUCAUUUUACUACCCCAAAUAAUUCAUCUGAC